ACAAAAAUAAUUUACAUUCCAAGGACCGGUAUUAUUGUAGGGGAUUUGUGACUUUCAAGGCAACGUCCUCUCUACAACCGAGUUCGAAGAAUAAGUACAAAUGGCUCUUUUUGUUAUUCGAAAGCUUACAAGUUCUGGUAUAUUCUAUAUACUCACUUAUUACUUUCAAGUACUUCACACGGGCCUGACAUCU
rnacentral:snoRNA from 1 species